rnacentral:sRNA from 1 species
UUUAUUUUCUCUGAGCGUUCAACUGGAACAACACCUAAUAAGAAAGCCCCAAACCUCAUUGUCUAUGACAAUUAACUUCUUGGACCCUUUUUAACACAAAGCAAGCACUAGGAAUAUUUGUGGAGAAAUCUUUGUGUUUAUGCUUCGAAAAAAGGUUCUAACUGACAGUCCUGAUUGCCGAGACAUUGCUGUUUGGUGUAUUUUGACGAAAGUUUCCAUACACGCAGUAUGUGUUCAGCAGACUGAUUCUUUCCACGUGCCGCACAUUGAUUCUACUUUUCGCUCAAAAAGCUGCAGAGGACUUACUUUGCUGAAAGUCAAUAUUUGGAAAGGAGGUUUUAAGAAGCAUGAAAACAAAAUGAACAAAAGUUUGGGAGAAGUGCUACUGGGGAGCUGACAUCAAUCACGGGCCUUCUCGCGAUGUGACUGGAGACAGAUCCUCUCUGUUUGCUAGACUCUUCAGCCCGCCACAAGCAACAGACUCCUAUCUCCCAGAAUACCACCAAAUCCUCUGUCUAAUGCUAAUGAGAAAAUAUUGACCCUGUUUCUCCAUUGACAAUAACAAAUAGGGAAGUGUUUGCUAACUAUGAGGUGUAAAACACUAGGUAAAUUCAGACAAAUCGGACAAGGAUUUUCGUUUCUUUCAGAGAAAUCCGGCUCACGUGUUUACGCGCUUUCUGUUUAACUUUCAGAUUACUUCCUAUUUUUGUUUCUUUCAAUGAAGUUAGGCAACUGUUUAUAAUAAUGUUUUAAAUUUGGAAUGACAAAAGGGAAAUUUUUUAUUUAUUUUUUCCUGAUCAUAUUGUUGUUUUUUCAUGAAUUCACAAUAAAACUAGGAGUAUAUCUGU